CGCGUAGGUGGUAGUGUAAGUCUGGGGUGGAAUCCCAGGGCUCAACCCUGGAACUGCCUUGGAAACUGCAUUACUUGAGUCAGUGAGGGGAGGGUAGAAUUCCUGGUGUAGCGGUGAAAUGCGUAGAUAUCAGGAGGAAGGCCUGUGGCGAAGGCGGCCCUCUGGCACUGGACUGACACUGAGGCGCGAAAGCGUGGGGAGCAAACAGGAUUAGAUACCCUGGUAGUCCACGCCCUAAACGGUGGGCACUAGGUGUAGGGCUCGUAAGGGUUCUGUGCCGAAGGGAAACCAUUAAGUGCCCCGCCUGGGGAGUACGGCCGCAAGGUUGAA
rnacentral:rRNA from 1 species